GACGAACCGUGCGAACGUUGUUCGGAUUCACUGGGCUUAAAGGGCGCGUAGGCGGGCGGUCAAGUCGGGGGUGAAAUCUUUCAGCUUAACUGGAAAAGUGCCUCCGAUACUGAUCGCCUCGAGGGAGGUAGGGGCAUGUGGAACCUCCGGUGGAGCGGUGAAAUGCGUAGAUAUCGGAAGGAACGCCGGUGGCGAAAGCGACGUGCUGGACCUCUUCUGACGCUGAGGCGCGAAAGCUAGGGGAGCAAACGGG
rnacentral:rRNA from 1 species